AAAUCAAAGCAGAAGCACCCGCUUCUCGCCUAAGUUGACAGUUGUCCUUGGGCUAGAUAUGUACAAAUUAGUGACAGUGAAAUUCACUGUGACCUUGUGGCGGGUAUCGGAGGAGAUAUCCGCCUUUUUCUGCGCUU
rfam:Jeotgalibaca dankookensis strain EX-07, complete genome.